AUUGAACGCUGGCGGCAGGCUUAACACAUGCAAGUCGAGCGGAGAUGAGGUGCUUGCACCUUAUCUUAGCGGCGGACGGGUGAGUAAUGCUUAGGAAUCUGCCUAUUAGUGGGGGACAACAUUCCGAAAGGAAUGCUAAUACCGCAUACGCCCUACGGGGGAAAGCAGGGGAUCUUCGGACCUUGCGCUAAUAGAUGAGCCUAAGUCGGAUUAGCUAGUUGGUGGGGUAAAGGCCUACCAAGGCGACGAUCUGUAGCGGGUCUGAGAGGAUGAUCCGCCACACGGGGACUGAGACACGGCCCAGACUCCUACGGGGGGCAGCAGUGGGGAAUAUUGGACAAUGGGCGGAAGCCUGAUCCAGCCAUGCCGCGUGUGUGAAGAAGGCCUUUUGGUUGUAAAGCACUUUAAGCGAGGAGGAGGCUACCUAGAUUAAUACUCUGGGAUAGUGGACGUUACUCGCAGAAUAAGCACCGGCUAACUCUGUGCCAGCAGCCGCGGUAACAC
rnacentral:rRNA from 1 species